rnacentral:misc_RNA from 1 species
GUACACCUGGAGAAAGACCCGAUCCGCACAACCAAUGAUGAAAAACAUUAUGGUAUUAGGAAGAGCCAACCUACAAAGAACAUGGGGAUACUCAACGACAAAAGAAAACAAUCGUGAUGUGAUAUCUGAACGUGGUCGCUUUUUUCAACCACCUUGCUAACCUAGCGUGAGGGAGUAGGGUCAUGUCUGUGGGCUGAGUUUGAUGGUGGGGGAGACGUUGCAUCUCUGACUCGGCCCUCAACUUUAUGCCUCGAUACGAGUCUGAGAGUUUGGUGGACCAUGGAGUAUCUGUACCAUAGAACGAGCAACGUUUCUCUCGUGGUUCAUGUUCAACGUGUGGAAUUCUAUGUGUACGUCUUUUUAUUUAUUUAUCUUUAUUUAUUGAUCUUUAUUUAUUUAUCUUAAUUUAUUGAUCUUUAUUUAUUU